CCUGUACCCAUUAAUAGGUGCACAGUGUAUAUUGUUAUAUGUUUUGUGUGCUCUCCUGUCCUGCUGAUGCUUGCUACCAAGUAGGUGGAUUUGGCUGUGGAGCCUGUACAGCGCCACCUAUUAGUUGGAAGGAUCUAGGAACAGUUGUAUGCACUACCCGAAUAGCAAGGAUUGCUCAUUUACAUAUCCAUGUUAGAUUUGCAUAUUGCGAAUUCUGGAGGCAGGAGAGUGUUUUGAGUUUAUUAUUGUCUUUCCCACCCCUUUAU